rnacentral:rRNA from 1 species
GCAAUAGCUCAAAUUUGAAAUCUGGCCCUUUCGGGGUCCGAGUUGUAAUUUGUAGAGAGUGUUUCGGGUGAGACCACGGUCUAAGUCCGUUGGAACACGGUGUCAUAGAGGGUGAGAAUCCCGUCUGUGACCGUGGAUCGAGCCCAUGUGAAGCCUCUUCGACGAGUCGAGUUGUUUGGGAAUGCAGCUCAAAAUGGGUGGUAAAUUUCAUCUAAAGCUAAAUACUGGCUGGAGACCGAUAGCGCACAAGUAGAGUGAUCGAAAGAUGAAAAGCACUUUGGAAAGAGAGUGAAACAGUACGUGAAAUUGUUGAAAGGGAAGCGCUUGCAACCAGACCUGCCCGUAGGCGAUCAGCCGCUGUUCUCAGUGGUGCACUCGCUCUGCGAUCAGGCCAGCAUCGGUUUCGGCGGUCGGAUAAAGGCCUUGGGAAUGUAGCUCCUUUUCGGGGGAGUCUUAUAGCCCUUGGUGCAAUGCGGCCAGCCGGGACCGAGGACCGCGCUUCGGCUAGGAUGCUGGCGUAAUGGUUGUAAGCGACCCGUCUUGAAACACGGACCAAGGAGUCUAACAUCUAUGCGAGUGUUUGGGUGUCAAACCCAUGCGCGGAAUGAAAGUGAACGGAGGUGAGAACCCUUAAGGGCGCAUCAUCGACCGAUCCAGAUGUCUUCGGAUGGAUUUGAGUAUGAGCAUAGCUGUUGGG